AUGGCGGCGUGCCGGGGAUUCUUCGAGUGCCUGCUCAGGCUGCUCAACUUUUUCCUCACCGUCGCCGGCCUUGCCAUGGUCGGCUACGGGAUCUACCUGCUCGUGGAGUGGAUGAGGAUCUCCGGCGGUGGCGGAGGGGCACCGCCGUCUCCGCCCCCGCCGGCUGAGUUGCUUACGUUCGGCCGCCCGAUGCUCACCGUCGUGGCCCUUGGAGAAGGAGGCAGUUUCUUCGACAAGCUACCCAAAGCAUGGUUCAUCUAUUUGUUCAUUGGUGUUGGUGCUGUUAUCUUCAUCGUUUCUCUAUUUGGCUGCAUUGGAGCAGGGACAAGGAAUACGUGUUGCUUGUGUUGUUAUUCUUUCUUGGUCAUAUUAUUAAUCCUUGCCGAGGCUGGAGGUGCUGCAUUCAUAUUCUUUGACCAUAGCUGGAAAGAUGUAAUUCCAGUGGAUAAGACACAAAACUUUGAUGCCAUGUAUGACUUUCUGAAUGAAAACUGGAAGAUUGCAAGAUGGGUUGCUCUUGGUGUUGUUGUUUUUGAGGUAUUGCUUUUCUUGUUAGCUCUUGCUGUCAGGGCAAUGAACAAACCCGCCGAGUAUGACAGUGAUGAUGAAAUCAUUGGAACUGCUCGAAGCACUAGCAUCCGUCAGCCUCUUAUCCAUUCCCAGAAUGCUCCGGCUACCGGUGUUCCCGUCCCAACACUUGAUCAACGUGCGAGCAGAAAUGAUGCAUGGAGCCAAAGGAUGCGAGAGAAGUAUGGUCUGGACACAAGCCAAUUUACUUACAACCCAUCAGAUGCAACCAGAUAUCAGCAAAAUGGGGCACCUCCAGCUGAAGAAAGGAGCCGUUGCACCGUAAUGUGA
rnacentral:rRNA from 1 species